GCUCCUGAGUCAGGGAACCAACUGCCAAGAGUGGAAGGAGCAGAAGCUACCAUAGCCUGUGGUGCAGAAGCAAUCAUAGCCUGAGGUGCACGAGAGUGCUGUGCUGGAGCUCGAGGAAAUAAACCAAAUCCAAAGCCAGAAGGUGCAGGAGCACGAGAGUGCUGUGCUGGAGCUCGAGGAAAUAAACCAAAUCCAAAGCCAGAAGGUGCAGGAGCAGUGUAACCAUAGCCAGGAGACGCAAACAUAGCACCUUGUUGUAAAGGAAGGUUAGGACCAUAGCCUGAGCCAGCAAAAGGCACACCAAAUUGUGCAGGAGAGCCAAAAGGCUGAAAUCCACGAAAAGGUGUGUAA
rnacentral:lncRNA from 1 species